ensembl:lncRNA uncharacterized LOC107308986
AUGCCGGGCAGACGGCUGUGGUGGGCGCGCUGCUGGCUCGGCGUCUGCCUCUCGCUGCUGGGCGCUGGGGGCGGCGGCGAGCCGUGCCGGGCUCCGUCCUGCGGCGGCGAGGCUCCCCCCGCUCCGUGCCGCGGAGCCCGCUGCGGCCCCAGGGCCGGUCGCCCCUCGCGCUCGUUCCCGCACACCGCCACGCCUCUCCGGCCGCCGCAGGGCAAAGCGCCGUUCUCCGGGCCGCCCCCCGCCGCCAGGGGGAGCGCCGCCGAGCCCUGCCCCGCCGGGGGCUGCGCCUCCAACGCCACCCGCCGCGACUGCCACGGCCUGGAGUGCCGCCUGCCGCCCCGACUGCGGCCACGGCCCCGCGGCCACGGCUGCUCCGCCGCCUCCGAGGGCUGCCCCGAGCCCGCCCUGCUCCGCGCCGCCGACAGAGCCGCUCAGUUCGCGGGAGACGACUUCGCCUACGCCGGGCCCGAGCUGGGCGGCGGAGCCCUGGGGGUGCAGCUCACCUGCGACGUGAAGCCAGGAGAAAAUGAAGUUCCAUCUGAAGACGCCCUAAUACUGCAGCUUCACCUUGCAAAAGGUCAUGAGAAAUUUACUGAAAUGCUCAAAAGCCAGCAGCAGAUCAUUGUAGAUUUACAGCAGAAACUUGCUGAACAGCAACAUGUAUUGGUUAGCCAGCAACGGGAGAUUCUCGAACAGCAAAGAAAAAUGUAUGAGCAAAUGGAUCUGAUCAAAGUGCAGUAUGGCAUGCUUUUUGACACAGUGAAACAAAUGUCAUUUCAGAGUUUGCAAGAAGAUAUUCAAAGUUAUUUUGAAAGUCAUCUUCAAGGACUUCAGAACCAGGUCAGGAAUCAUCUCCAGAAGUCGUACUCUGUGCAUAAAGUAGAAGUGGAUGCAAAAGUGAUAAAUGUAGGGGAAUCUUUGCUGGACUGUGGUCUUUGUGAAAGUGAUGAAUUUUGCAAUUUCCAAAAGACACCUUCACAGUGUGAAAAAUGCACAUUGUGUCCUGCUGGUUUUUUCCAAAUGGCCGAUUGCGCUGCAAACUCUGACCGGAUUUGCCAGGACAGAGAUGAAUGCACUGAAUCUCCUAGCAUUUGUGGCGAGAGAAUAAAAUGCCUGAAUACUCCAGGUGGCUUCCGAUGCCUUGGAAUAGCUGAGAAAGAUGCAGCUCUGGGAUUGUGUGGAGAAGAGUAUUUCUUUAAUAAGGAAAUGCAAGAAUGCCAAGCGUGUUUGAAAUGUGAAGAUGGAAUGGUGGCCAUGCCUUGUUCCACUGUCAGUGACACGGUUUGUUCAGCAACCAGCGAAAGCAAGCUAUCAGAAUCCUGGGCUGCAAACAUCAUUUUACCAUCCGUGAAGUCUGGCAUCUCUCAGGUCUACUCUGGCUUGAACUUGAAGAUAAGGGAAAAGCUUCACUGUGACAUCCUGUCCAUCGAAGAUCACAGCCUGAUAUUCAGGCAACAUGGUUUGUUGUGGACUGACCUAAAUUUUGCAGUAAAACACAACUGCAGGAAUUUUUUGCAACUUUCCUUAAAGCUAAAUGGCACUGAGGAAGGCUAUGAGCUGAGUGGUGUUCGCAUUGAACAGCCAGAAGGAAAAUAUUUCCAGAGCACCAGUUUAAGCAGCGCUGCUGAGGUGGAGCCCAGCCAAACUCUUUCUGUGUUUUUGAGGAGCCCAAACCAAUUCUGCAAUCAAAGUAAAGACUUACAUAUUUACGAUCUUAAUAGCCCACUUAGUCUGUUCUGGUUGUCUCAUGACACGGGUGCUGUAGCAAUCAGUGCACACAUGUCAACAGCAAUGCAUUACCAAACCAACUAUCGACCUACAUUUAAAAUAGUUUCUGUUUCCGACCCUUACAUGCUAAGUUUAUCCCAUGAUGGCAGAGCUAUAAAAUUCACUGAAACAGGCGUUGUCAAAUUUGUGUUGCACCAAGCAUUGUAUUCUAUGGGUCACACUUGUGUUCGGGAGGGUUUCUCUUUAAUUUCUUACAUAAAUAGGAACGGUACCAACAGAGAAUUAAUGAAUGUAUUUAAAUCUGGGGUAAAUUACAGAGAUACAUCAAUAUCUGCUUCUGGGGCCACAAAAGUUGCUGCUGGAGAUCUGAUUAGCUUUGAGAUACUCUCUCCCGCACAAUGUAGUGUUCGGUAUUUUGGAGAUAGUUCUGGGAUUAGUAUGUUUAGCCUUAUCUGGAUACCUUCAGCAGUUUCUAGUGCCAUAUCAGCCACAGUUUCUGUUACAGGCCUGCCUACUGGAGCUGUGAGAAACAAAUUACUGGAUUUCACCCAGAUCUCAUCCAAUGAGAAACAGAUACAGCUGGUUUCAUCUGGACAGCUUGCUCAGAAGUACUUCAUUUUUACAGAAAAGGGAGUUGCCAGUCUUGCAUUUAACUUAAAGCUAAUCCAUUCAUGCAGUGUGCUCAAAGUGACUCUCAACCAGUUGACCAUGGAUCACAUGCAACCCACCAUAAUUGCUCAGCAGAUUGGAGGGCAGAUGCCAGAGGGAAGCAUAUGGACCAGUGUGGCCCUUCGUGCAUCUUUUGAAGUACAUAAUGGAACACUGAUAUCAGUUUCUCUUGACUGCGUACGUGGAAGGAUCAAUCAGAUCACUCGUGAACAUGGAACCAGUGUAUCUAUUUUAUGGAUUUCAUCUUAA